AUGUCAGUUUUCAUUCCAAUUCCAAAGAAAGGCAAUGCCAAAGAAUGCUCAAACUACCGCACAAUUGCACUCAUCUCACAUGCUAGUAAAGUAAUGCUCAAAAUUCUCCAAGCCAGGCUUCAGCAAUAUGAGAACCGUGAACUUCCAGAUGUUCAAGCUGGUUUUAGAAAAGUCAGAGGAACCAGAGAUCAAAUUGCCAACAUCCGCUGGAUCAUCGAAAAAGCAAGAGUGUUCCAGAAAAACAUCUGUUUCUGUUUUAUUGACUAUGCCAAAGCCUUUGACUGUGUGGAUCACAAUAAAGUGUGGAAAAUUGUGAAAGAGAUGGGAAUACCAGGCCACCUCACCUGCCUCUUGAGAAACCUGUAUGCAGGUCAGGAAGCAACAGUUAGAACUGGACAUGGAACAACAGACUGGUUCCAAAUAGGAAAAGGAGUACGUCAAGGCUGUAUAUUGUCACUCUGCUUAUUUAACUUCUAUGCAGAGUACAUCAUGAGAAACGCUGGACUGGAAGAAGCACAAGCUGGAAUCAAGAUUGCCAGGAGAAAUAUCAAUAACUUCAGAUAUGCAGAUGACAUGACCCUUAUGGCAGAAAGUGAAGAGGAACUAAAAAGCCUCUUGAUGAAAGUGAAAGAGGAGAGUGAGAAAGUUGGCAUAAAGCUCAACAUUCAGAAAACGAAGAUCAUGGCCUCUUGUCCCAUCACUUCAUGGGAAAUAGAUGGGGAAACAGUGGAAACAGUGUCAGACUUUAUUUUUGGGGGCUCCAAAAUCAUUGCAGAUUGUGAUUGCAGCCAUGAAAUUAAAAGACGCUUACUCCUUGGAAGAAACGUUAUGACCAACCUAGAUAGCAUAUUGAAAAGCAGAGACAUUACUUUGCCAACAAAGGUCCAUCUAGUCAAGGCUAUGGUUUUUCCUGUGGUCAUGUAUGGAUGUGAAAGUUGGACUGUGAAGAAGGCUGAGUGCCGAAGAAUUGAUGCUUUUGAACUGUGGUGUUGGAGAAGACUCUUGAGAGUCCCUUGGACUGCAAGGAAAUCCAGCCAGUCCAUUCUAAAGGAGAUCAGGCCUGGGAUUUCUUUGGAAGGACUGAUGCUGAAGCUGAAACUCCAAUACUUUGGCCACCUCAUGUGA
rnacentral:lncRNA from 1 species